rnacentral:lncRNA from 1 species
AAAGCAUCUUAUUCGCGACAUCAUCAAUAGACGAUGUGGAAACAAUCCAUUGAUUGGAAGACCAAACAAGGUGACAACUGUUGAUAGAUUUCAAGGUCAACAGAAUGACUAUAUUCUUCUUUCUCUGGUACGAACCAGGGCAGUGGGCCAUCUGAGGGAUGUCCGUCGCUUGGUAGUGGCCAUGUCUAGAGCCAGACUUGGACUUUAUAUCUUCGCCAGAGUAUCCCUCUUCCAAAACUGUUUUGAACUGACUCCAGCUUUCAGUCAGCUCACAGCUCGCCCCCUUCAUUUGCAUAUAAUUCCAACAGAACCUUUCCCAACUACUAGAAAGAAUGGAGAGAGACCAUCUCAUGAAGUACAAAUAAUAAAAAAUAUGCCCCAGAUGGCAAACUUUGUAUACAACAUGUACAUGCAUUUGAUACAGACUACACAUCAUUAUCAUCAGACUUUAUUACAACUACCACCUGCUAUGGUAGAAGAGGGUGAGGAAGUUCAAAAUCAAGAAACAGAAUUGGAAACAGAAGAAGAGGCCAUGACUGUUCAAGCUGACAUCAUACCCAGUCCAACAGACACCAGCUGCCGUCAAGAAACUCCAGCCUUUCAAACUGACACCACCCCCAGUGAGACAGGAGCCACUUCCACUCCAGAAGCCAUCCCUGCUUUAUCUGAGACCACCCCUACUGUGGUAGGAGCUGUAUCUGCACCGGCAGAAGCUAACACACCUCAGGAUGCCACAUCUGCCCCGGAAGAGACCAAGUAGCCAAACUGUAGUCCUUCUAAAGGAGGACAUGGCAGUCAAAAAGUCUGAGUAAAGCUGUUUUUUGUAUUUUAUAUUUGCUUCUGCCAUUUUACUGUCACUAAUUAAUGUUUAGUUCUUAUAUUUGUUAACUGAUUUCGGUGUCUUGAAUAUAUUUUUUUAAAUUAUGUGUAUGAACAAUUCUAGUUUCAUUUGUUCAAUCAGAAGAGCAAAUAACCAUUCCUUUCAUGUUUUGAUCACUGAGUGUGUCUGUAAUCAUACCUACAUUAAAAUCAUUUU